GUUUGGUUGUAUAGAUCGUACUGCCUAUCCAGACUCGGAAGGAGGUGUGGUUUGGUUGUAUAGAUCGUACUGCCUAUCCAGACUCAGAAGGAGGUGUGGUUUGGUUGUAUAGAUCGUACUGCCAAUCCAAACUCAGAAGGAGGUGUGGUUUGUGGUUUGGUUGUAUAGAUCGUACUGCCUAUCCAGACUCGGAAGGAGGUGUGGUUUGGUUGUAUAGAUCGUACUGCCGAUCCAGACUCGGAAGGAGGUGAGGUUUGGUUGUAUAGAUCGCACUGCCUAUCCAGACUCGGAAGGAGGUGUGGUUUGGUUGUAUAGAGCGUACUGCCGAUCCAGACUCAGAAGGAGGUGUGGUUUGGUUGUAUAGAUCGUACUGCCUAUCCAGACUCAGAAGGAGGUGUGGUUUGGUUGUAUAGAUCGUACUGCCUAUCCAGACUCAGAAGGAGAUGUGGUUUGGUUGUAUAGAUCGUACUGCCGAUCCAGACUCGGAAGGAGGUGUGGUUUGGUUGUAUAGAUCGUACUGCCUAUCCAGACUCAGAAGGAGGUGUGGUUUGGUUGUAUAGAUCGUACUGCCUAUCCAGACUCGGAAGGAGGUGUGGUUUGGUUGUAUAGAUCGUACUGCCGAUCCAGACUCAGAAGGAGGUGUGGUUUGGUUGUAUAGAUCGUACUGCCUAUCCAGACUCAGAAGGAGGUGUGGUUUGGUUGUAAAGAUCGUACUGCCUAUCCAGACUCAUAAGGAGGUGUGGUUUGUUUGUAUAGAUCGUACUGCCUAUCCAGACUCGGAAGGAGGUGUGGUUUGGUUGUAAAGAUCGUACUGCUGAUCCAGACUUAGAAGGAGGUGUGGUUUGGUUGUAUAGAUCAUACUGCCGAUCCAGACUCAGAAGGAGGUGUGGUUUGGUUGUAUAGAUCGUACUGCCUAUCCAGACUUGGAAGGAGGUGUGGUUUGGUUGUAUAGAUCGUACUGCCUAUCCAGACUCAGAAGAAGGUGUGGUUUGGUUGUAUAGUAGUACAAACCCUUGUUGUCCUGGGCAGGCAGCAUGGGCAGUUGGCGCAAGGACUUAUCUGUAUAAGGAGAAGGCAUCUUCCAUGACAUUCUUUGCCCUUCAGCCUCACGCCCAUUGUGGAGAUCCUCUUGUAGCAGUUCUACCACUGUUUAUUUUAUAUUUUUGACUUGUAUUCAUUUGAUUAAACAACACCAGCGUGGUUUUUAUUUAACAUCUGGAUCAGAUAAAACCUGUGUCACAUCAACCUUGAAAUUCAAACAAAACUUUUAAAAAAUGAAAUUACAACAUAUGACUCAUGACCAACGUGUUCGUUCAACAAAACGUGAGCUGGAAUUGUGCAGGUUUGUGAAAAA